AGCGAACGCUGGCGGCAGGCCUAACACAUGCAAGUCGAACGGAUCCUUCGUGAUUAGUGGCGGACGGCUGAGUAACACGUGGGAACGUGCCCUUUGGUUCGGAACAACUCAGGGAAACUUGAGCUAAUACCGGAUGUGCCCUUCGGGGGAAAGAUUUAUUGCCAUUGGGGCGGCCCGCGUCUGAUUAGCUAGUUGGUGAGGUAACGGACCACUAAGGCGACGAUCAGUAGCUGGUAUGAGAGGAUGAUCAGCCACACUGGGACUGAGACACGGCCCAGACUGCAACGGGAGGCAGCAGUGGGGAAUCAUGCGCAAUGAGCGAAAGCCAGAAGCAGCCAUGCCGCGUGAAUGAUGAAGGUCUUAGGAUAGUAAAAUUCUUUCAGCGGGGACGAUAAGGACGGAACCCGCAGAAAAAGCUCGGGCAAACUACGG
rnacentral:rRNA from 1 species